UGCGUAGGCGGAUAGAUAAGUCAGAGGUGAAAGCCUCCCGCUCAACGGGAGAACUGCCUUUGAUACUGUUUAUCUUGAAUGAGGUUGAGGUUAGCGGAAUGUGACAUGUAGCGGUGAAGUGCAUAGAUAUGUCAUAGAACACCAAUUGCGUAGGCAGCUAGCUAGGCCUUUAUUGACGCUGAGGCACGAAAGCAUGGGGAGCGAACAGGAUUAGAUACCCUGGUAGUCC
rnacentral:rRNA from 1 species